CAGGUGUCUUGAAGUGCGAAGUCUGAUACAGCCUGCCGCGUGAGUGAUGAAGGCCUUCGGGUUGUAAAGCUCUUUUACUUGGGAAGAAAAUGACUGUACGUGAAUCUAAUGGACCGGACAUCUUCACGCCAGCCCCCCCGGUACUGUAAUAUG
rnacentral:rRNA from 1 species